rnacentral:ncRNA from 1 species
AUGCAAAGAUAAAAACGCAAUGUACAAUACAAAAUGUACUAGAGCCGGUAGGUAGCCCGGCCGUCCUAUAUUAUGUAGGGUAAGUAACCUGCCCCUCCGGGUUGUCCAUUCUUUGCUC